GACGAACGCUGGCGGCGUGCUUAACACAUGCAAGUCGAACGGAAAGGCCCUGCUUUUGUGGGGUUCUCGAGUGGCGAACGGGUGAGUAACACGUGAGUAACCUGCCCUUGACUUUGGGAUAACUUCAGGAAACUGGGGCUAAUACCGGAUAUGAGCUCCUGCUGCAUGGUGGUGGUUGGAAAGUUUCGGCGGUUGGGGAUGGACUCGCGGCUUAUCAUCUUGUUGGUGGGGUAGUUGCUUACCAAGGCUUUGACGGGUAGCCGGCAUGAGAGGGUGACCGGCGAGAAUGGGAGUGAGAUACGGACCAGAGGCCAACGGGAGGCAGGAGUGGGGAAUAUUGCACAAUGGGAGGAAGCCUGAUGCAGCAACGCCGCGUGCGGGAUGACGGCCUUCGGGUUGUAAACCGCUUUCGCCUGUGACGAAGCGUGAGUGACGGUAAUGGGUAAAGAAGCACCGGCUAACUACGUG
rnacentral:rRNA from 1 species